rnacentral:rRNA from 1 species
AUACGGAGGAUGCGAGCGUUAUCCGGAUUUAUUGGGUUUAAAGGGAGCGUAGGUGGGAUAUUAAGUCAGCUGUGAAAGUUUGGGGCUCAACCUUAAAAUUGCAGUUGAUACUGGUUUCCUUGAGUACGGUACAGGUGGGCGGAAUUCGUGGUGUGGCGGUGAAAUGCUUAGAUAUCACGAAGAACUCCGAUCGAGAAGGCAGCUCACCGGGCCGGAACUGACACUGAUGCUCGAAAGUGCGGGUAUCAAACAGGAUUAGAUACCCUGGUAGUCCGCACAGUAAACGAUGAAUACUCGCUGUUUGCGAUACACUGUAAGCGGCCAAGCGAAAGCGUUAAGUAUUCCACCUGGGGAGUACGCCGGCAACGGUGAAACUCAAAGGAAUUGACGGGG